rnacentral:rRNA from 1 species
UCAUAUUGCAUUCGCCCUCAGUGAACGAUCAUGGACAAUUAACAAAUGUUAGGCGGAGUGUUAAAACCCGCAAGUUACAACGUCUUUUUGUUGUUUAGGCUAGGGAGGAACUGGAGAGCCUUCGAGUAACAUUGGGUAACAAACUUUUAGGAGUUGAAUACCUUGGAAAACUUUUCUUGUAAAGCGGAAAAAGGUGGUGUUGAUGUCUAGUCAGCACGUCUAUGACGUCCUGGGCGACACACACGCUACAAUGGCUGAGACAAAGGGGGUCCAACCCUCUAGGGGGUGCCAAUCCCGGCAAACUCGCUCUCAGUUCGGAUUUCAGGCUGCAGCCAGCUCUAUGAAGCAGGAGUUAUUAGUAAUAUGGGUCAGCACAUCCAGGUGAAUAAGUUCCCGAGUUUGUUCACACCGCCUGUCACACUCAAAAGUCGGCUCACAUGAAGAGCUGGCCAACCCUUUAGAGAGCCACUUAGGGGGGGUCAGGAUGGUAAUGACAAUAAAAGGAUCUAGAUGCACAGAACAACC